rnacentral:lncRNA from 1 species
UUCCCAAACAAAAUAACAUGUUUGGAAUGGACAAAACAAGGGCAUCAACUUGAAAUCAAUAGAUCGCCACAAAAUACUGCAUAAUUGAGCAUCGAUCUUCUCCCAAUAUGCUUUGGCUUUAUCAUCUCCUUCACUAGAUUCCUUGAUUAGAUGAUCUUGAACACCUUGACCUUUACACCACAACUCGACAGACGAAGCCCAAGCUAGGUAGUUUGAACCUCCUAUUAAUGGUUCUGAGGUAAUCAUAACACCGAAACUGCUAGAACCCAGGUUUCUAGACCCGAAAACAUUGAGUCCCAAAGACAUCGUUGGAUUAUCACCAAAUAAUCAGAAAGAAUCAACUGAAAACUCGCUGAAA